AGCGUCCAAGGUGCACCGCAGAUUUGGAUUUCGUAAUACAUGAUGCGUGGUGCUCAGUAUCGGAUUCAUCCGGUUCGACAUGAAAAUCGGCACAAAAAGAUUUUGGGGUUUGUGUUAUUGAUGGCACAAUCAGACCAAGAGAGCUACUCUAACUCUAAUUGGUCAAUCUUUUGCAAUCUAGAAGAAGCCAUUACAAUCAGUUCUGUAGACUAAGCAUCCAAGGCGCACCGCAGAUUUGGAUUUCGUAACACAUGAUGUGUGGUGCCCAGUAUCGGACUCGCCCGGACAUGGAAAUCGGCACAGAAUCGACAAGAAAAUCAGAUUCCCUAACACAUGAUGCGUGGUGCCCAGUAACACAUGAUGCGUGGUGCCCAAUGUUUGAAAAUUCGACUCGACUGGACUCGCCCAGUUCGACAUGAAAAUCGGCACUGAACCGAUAUGGAAAUUGGCACCCCCGUGUCGAAUCCACCAUAUUAUGCAAAAUCGCCUGUGUCUAGAGAGAACCAGGUGAUUCGUAGCAAUAAACUCGGCAGAGUUGCUACAGUGACAUGGUGAUUUCAACAGUUUGGGGUAAAGUACGAAAUUUUUUUAAAAUUGAGGGGCAUUUUUGAUGCCACACGUCAGGCACAUGCAGUGCAUGGGUCUCAAUCAUGCUAAGUAACUAAC
rnacentral:lncRNA from 1 species